rnacentral:rRNA from 1 species
AGAGUUUGAUCCUGGCUCAGGAUGAACGCUAGCUACAGGCUUAACACAUGCAAGUCGCGGGGCAGCAUGGGGGUUGCUUGCAAUCCUCGAUGGCGACCGGCGCACGGGUGAGUAACGCGUAUCCAACCUGCCCUUCACCACGGGAUAACCCGGCGAAAGUCGGACUAAUACCGUAUGUUGUCCAUUGACGGCAUCCGAUUUGGACGAAAGGCUUUGCGGUGAGGGAUGGGGAUGCGUCCGAUUAGCUCGACGGCGGGGUAACGGCCCACCGUGGCUACGAUCGGUAGGGGUUCUGAGAGGAAGGUCCCCCACACUGGAACUGAGACACGGUCCAGACUCCUACGGGAGGCAGCAGUGAGGAAUAUUGGUCAAUGGGCGUAAGCCUGAACCAGCCAAGUAGCGUGCAGGAUGACGGCCCUAUGGGUUGUAAACUGCUUUUAUGCGGGGAUAAAGUGAGGGACGUGUCCUUCAUUGCAGGUACCGCAUGAAUAAGGACCGGCUAAUUCCGUGCCAGCAGCCGCGGUAAUACGGAAGGUCCGGGCGUUAUCCGGAUUUAUUGGGUUUAAAGGGAGCGUAGGCCGCGCCUUAAGCGUGUUGUGAAAUCCGGGUGCUCAACAUCCGGCUUGCAGCGCGAACUGGGGCGCUUGAGUGCGCUGAAAGUAGGCGGAAUUCGUGGUGUAGCGGUGAAAUGCUUAGAUAUCACGAGGAACUCCGAUUGCGAAGGCAGCCUACUGUAGCGCUACUGACGCUGAUGCUCGAAAGCGUGGGUAUCGAACAGGAUUAGAUACCCUGGUAGUCCACGCGGUAAACGAUGGAUGCUCGUUGUCGGCCUUUGUGGUCGGUGACCAAGCGAAAGCGUUAAGCAUCCCACCUGGGGAGUACGCCGGCAACGGUGAAACUCAAAGGAAUUGACGGGGGCCCGCACAAGCGGAGGAACAUGUGGUUUAA